GACGAACGCUGGCGGCGUGCCUAAUACAUGCAAGUUGAGCGCUGACGGAUGGUACUUGUACCAACUGGUUGAGCAGCGAACGGGUGAGUAACGCGUGGGGAAUCUGCCUUUGAGCGGGGGACAACAUUUGGAAACGAAUGCUAAUACCGCAUAAAAACUUUAAACACAAGUUUUAAGUUUGAAAGAUGCAAUUGCAUCACUCAAAGAUGAUCCCGCGUUGUAUUAGCUAGUUGGUGGGGUAAAGGCUCACCAAGGCGAUGAUACAUAGCCGACCUGAGAGGGUGAUCGGCCCCAUUGGGACUGAGACACGGCCCAAACUCCUACGGGAGGCAGCAGUAGGGAAUCUUCGGCAAUGGACGAAAGGCUGACCGAGCAACGCCGCGGGAGUGAAGAAGGUUGUCGGAUCGUAAAACUCUGUUGGUAGAGAAGAACGGUGGUGAGAGUGGAAAGCUCAUCAAGUGACGGUAACUACCCAGAAAGGGACGGCUAACUACGUG
rnacentral:rRNA from 1 species